AGAGUUUGAUCAUGGCUCAGGACGAACGCUGGCGGCGUGCCUAAUACAUGCAAGUAGAACGCUGAAGAGAGGAGCUUGCUCUUCUUGGAUGAGUUGCGAACGGGUGAGUAACGCGUAGGUAACCUGCCUUGUAGCGGGGGAUAACUAUUGGAAACGAUAGCUAAUACCGCAUAACAAUGGAUGACACAUGUCAUUUAUUUGAAAGGGGCAAUUGCUCCACUACAAGAUGGACCUGCGUUGUAUUAGCUAGUAGGUGAGGUAACGGCUCACCUAGGCGACGAUACAUAGCCGACCUGAGAGGGUGAUCGGCCACACUGGGACUGAGACACGGCCCAGACUCCUACGGGAGGCAGCAGUAGGGAAUCUUCGGCAAUGGGGGCAACCCUGACCGAGCAACGCCGCGUGAGUGAAGAAGGUUUUCGGAUCGUAAAGCUCUGUUGUAAGUCAAGAACGAGUGUGAGAGUGGAAAGUUCACACUGUGACGGUAGCUUACCAGAAAGGGACGGCUAACUACGUGCCAGCAGCCGCGGUAAUACGUAGGUCCCGAGCGUUGUCCGGAUUUAUUGGGCGUAAAGCGAGCGCAGGCGGUUUGAUAAGUCUGAAGUUAAAGGCUGUGGCUCAACCAUAGUUCGCUUUGGAAACUGUCAAACUUGAGUGCAGAAGGGGAGAGUGGAAUUCCAUGUGUAGCGGUGAAAUGCGUAGAUAUAUGGAGGAACACCGGUGGCGAAAGCGGCUCUCUGGUCUGUAACUGACGCUGAGGCUCGAAAGCGUGGGGAGCGAACAGGAUUAGAUACCCUGGUAGUCCACGCCGUAAACGAUGAGUGCUAGGUGUUGGAUCCUUUCCGGGAUUCAGUGCCGCAGCUAACGCAUUAAGCACUCCGCCUGGGGAGUACGACCGCAAGGUUGAAACUCAAAGGAAUUGACGGGGGCCCGCACAAGCGGUGGAGCAUGUGGUUUAAUUCGAAGCAACGCGAAGAACCUUACCAGGUCUUGACAUCCCGAUGCUAUUUCUAGAGAUAGAAAGUUACUUCGGUACAUCGGUGACAGGUGGUGCAUGGUUGUCGUCAGCUCGUGUCGUGAGAUGUUGGGUUAAGUCCCGCAACGAGCGCAACCCCUAUUGUUAGUUGCCAUCAUUCAGUUGGGCACUCUAGCGAGACUGCCGGUAAUAAACCGGAGGAAGGUGGGGAUGACGUCAAAUCAUCAUGCCCCUUAUGACCUGGGCUACACACGUGCUACAAUGGUUGGUACAACGAGUUGCGAGUCGGUGACGGCAAGCUAAUCUCUUAAAGCCAAUCUCAGUUCGGAUUGUAGGCUGCAACUCGCCUACAUGAAGUCGGAAUCGCUAGUAAUCGCGGAUCAGCACGCCGCGGUGAAUACGUUCCCGGGCCUUGUACACACCGCCUGUCACACCACGAGAGUUUGUAACACCCGAAGUCGGUGAGGUAACCUUUUGGAGCCAGCCGCCUAAGGUGGGAUAGAUGAUUGGGGUGAAGUCGUAACAAGGUA
rnacentral:rRNA from 1 species